UGCAAUCUGUGAUGAUUUUUAGAAGUACUCUGAUUAAUCAGUGAUUAUUUUACCAAAUCACCAUCUUUCGGCUGAGAUUGCA
rfam:Vigna radiata var. radiata cultivar VC1973A chromosome 5, whole genome shotgun sequence